rnacentral:rRNA from 1 species
UACGUAGGGUGCGAGCGUUGUCCGGAAUUAUUGGGCGUAAAGGGCUCGUAGGCGGUCUGUUGCGUCGGGAGUGAAAACUCAGGGCUUAACCCUGAGCCUGCUUCCGAUACGGGCAGACUAGAGGUAUGCAGGGGAGAACGGAAUUCCUGGUGUAGCGGUGAAAUGCGCAGAUAUCAGGAGGAACACCGGUGGCGAAGGCGGUUCACUGGACUGGUACUGACGCUGAGGCGCGAAAGCGUGGGGAGCAAACGGG